rnacentral:misc_RNA from 1 species
UGAAAGUCAAUUUGAAAACUUUAGUAGAAAGAGUGUAGAAAAUUUGUUGGGUUUGCAACUUGCUGCUUUCAGCCCAUGGAAGCACAGUGGUCUCCAUCUUUCAAGUAACUUUCAUCAACUUGGGCAUCUAAUAAGAAAUAAAGUUCCUCUACUUUUGAAUGUUCUCGUUCAAACAAAGGACUCUAAUACUCCAUACUAAAGUUGUCCCUAUAAAUAGUCUAGCAUUAGGGUAUAAUUUCAAAAAACCUUGAGCUUUAAUUCCG